GCCUCCUUUGCUUGGAGCACCAGACGUUACACAAAGCAUGUAACUGUACCAGAUGUGAUCUGCCCUCCUCUCAGUGGGGACAAAAGAGACAAGAAAGAUUUCCCCCCAGAUGCCUCAGUGCUCAGGUCACAUGACAGCAAGGGACCUCUCCAACAACGACCCUCUCUUCUGAAGCAAAUGGGCGAAGCCCAUGUGGAAAGGGAGAUGCUGCAUCAUUGAUACUGGAAAGACAAAAGGAGUG